rnacentral:rRNA from 3 species
GGGUUGUGAGGUUAAGCGACUAAGCGUACACGGUGGAUGCCCUGGCAGUCAGAGGCGAUGAAGGGCGUGCUAAUCUGCGAUAAGCGCCGGUAAGGUGAUAUGAACCGUUAUAACCGGCGAUACCCGAAUGGGGAAACCCAGUGUGACUCGUCACACUAUCAUUAACUGAAUCCAUAGGUUAAUGAGGCGAACCGGGGGAACUGAAACAUCUAAGUACCCCGAGGAAAAGAAAUCAACCGAGAUUCCCCCAGUAGCGGCGAGCGAACGGGGAGGAGCCCAGAGCCUGAAUCAGCAUGUGUGUUAGUGGAAGCGUCUGGAAAGGCGCGCGAUACAGGGUGACAGCCCCGUACACAAAAGCGCAUGUGCUGUGAGCUCGAUGAGUAGGGCGGGACACGUGGUAUCCUGUCUGAAUAUGGGGGGACCAUCCUCCAAGGCUAAAUACUCCUGACUGACCGAUAGUGAACCAGUACCGUGAGGGAAAGGCGAAAAGAACCCCGGCGAGGGGAGUGAAAAAGAACCUGAAACCGUGUACGUACAAGCAGUGGGAGCCCCACCACCAAAGCAUUUGCUGUACCGCGUUGACGGAGCGAAGCGACGUCAAACCGAUAAAACAGCAGUGUAAAGUGAGCCGCAGGGCGCUUUGCGCGACAGCGCAAAGGCAGGCGGUUUCGCGUAGCGAAAGCGAAUGCUUUGGGGUGGGGUGACUGCGUACCUUUUGUAUAAUGGGUCAGCGACUUAUAUUCUGUAGCAAGGUUAACCGAAUAGGGGAGCCGGAGGGAAACCGAGUCUUAAUUGGGCGUUAAGUUGCAGGGUAUAGACCCGAAACCCGGUGAUCUAGCCAUGGGCAGGUUGAAGGUUGGGUAACACUAACUGGAGGACCGAACCGACUAAUGUUGAAAAAUUAGCGGAUGACCUGUGGCUGGGGGUGAAAGGCCAAUCAAACCGGGAGAUAGCUGGUUCUCCCCGAAAGCUAUUUAGGUAGCGCCUCGUGAAUUCAUCUCCGGGGGUAGAGCACUGUUUCGGCUAGGGGGCCAUCCCGGCUUACCAACCCGAUGCAAACUGCGAAUACCGGAGAAUGUUAUCACGGGAGACACACGGCGGGUGCUAACGUCCGUCGUGAAGAGGGAAACAACCCAGACCGCCAGCUAAGGUCCCAAAGUCAUGGUUAAGUGGGAAACGAUGUGGGAAGGCCCAGACAGCCAGGAUGUUGGCUUAGAAGCAGCCAUCAUUUAAAGAAAGCGUAAUAGCUCACUGGUCGAGUCGGCCUGCGCGGAAGAUGUAACGGGGCUAAACCAUGCACCGAAGCUGCGGCAGCGACACUGUGUGUUGUUGGGUAGGGGAGCGUUCUGUAAGCCUGUGAAGGUGUGUCGUGAGGC